GCCCCAACACAGACUCCACCAGAGCCCCCUUCCGGUCACCCACUGGCUGAAACUGGCUUGCUCUCUAGUAGCCCGGAUGAGCUAAUGAAACCGUGGGUCUCUGUCUGCUGCCCCCCUGCCCCCGUUUGAAAUCCUUUUUCCUCCACCAUCAGAGUCCUUCAGCUUGUGAGUGGAGGGGUGUGGACGGUCAGGUCCCUGUUCCCUCCAGCGAUCCCUGCAUGAACACCUGCUGUCUACGCGCCAGCCCACUCCUUGAGCUGAAUCCUGUCGCUGCAGUACCGGCACACACAGCCUUGUCCUCAGGUCCCCUUCUUGAAGAUGGAAGUCACCUCUCACCUCUGCAUUUAGAACCUGAAACAAUGUCUUCCAGAAGGUUUAGGAAGGGAGAUAAAGACAAGACAAGGGAAAAUAGAGAAAGGAAGGAGUGCGACUUCUGGUGCUGGGAUUCUGCAAGGCACAACCUCCAGUUGGUUGGCAGUGUGGUUCUCCUGCCCUGGGGACCCAGGUUUCUCCUCACCAAGCCAAUUUGAAUUAAUUUUGCAGGGACAAUUCCACAAGACAAUGUAUCAAUUGCUGUAUUAAAAUCAAGAU